rnacentral:rRNA from 2 species
GAACACGGAAGAUAAGCCCACCAGCGUUCCGGGGAGUACUGGAGUGCGCGAGCCUCUGGGAAAUCCGGUUCGCCGCCACCA